GACGAACGCUGGCGGCGUGCCUAACACAUGCAAGUAGAACGCCGUUGCGAACGGGUGAGUAAAGCGUCGGUAACUGCCUCAUAGCGGGGGAUAACUAUUGGUAACGUUAGCUAAUACCCCAUUCUUUUAGAUGUAUCUGCGUUGUAUUAGCUAGUUGGUGAGGUAAAGGAUCACCAAGGCGACGAUACAUAGCCGACAUGUGAGGGAGAUCGGCCACACUGGGACAGAGACAAAGCCAAGAAUCCUAAGGGAGGCAGCAGUAGGGAAACUUCGGCAAUGGACAGAAGUCUGACAGAGCAAAGCCGCGGGAGUGAAGAAGGUUUUCGGAGCGUAAAGCUCUGUUGUUAGAGAAGCGGUAACUAACCAUGAAGGGACGGCUAACAACGUGCCAGCCGCCGCGAUAAUUC
rnacentral:rRNA from 1 species